rnacentral:tRNA from 1 species
UAGAUAGCUCAGUCGGUAGAGCAGAGGACUGAAAAUCCUCGUGUCGCUGGUUCGAUUCCGGCUCUAGG